rnacentral:misc_RNA from 1 species
GAAAUGCGAUAAGUAAUGUGAAUUGCAGAAUUCAGUGAAUCAUCGAAUCUUUGAACGCACAUUGCGCCCGCCAGCACUCUGGCGGGCAUGCCUGUUCGAGCGUCAUUUCAACCCUCAGAACCCCUUGCGGGAUCUGGCGUUGGGGAUUGGCAUCCAGCCAGCCCCGAAAUCUAGUGGCGGUCCCUCCGCGACCUCCCCUGUGCAGUAGCGAUACCUCGCAGCGGGACAGCGGUCUGACCACGACGUAAAACCCCCAACUUCUCAAGGUUGACCUCGAAUCAGGUAGGAAUACCCGCUGAACUUAAGC